GGGCCCGCACAAGCGGUGGAGCAUGUGGUUUAAUUCGAUGCAACGCGAAGAACCUUACCAAGCCUUGACAUCCUCGGAACUUUCCAGAAAUGGAUUGGUGCCUUCGGGAACCGAGUGACAGGUGCUGCAUGGCUGUCGUCAGCUCGUGUCGUGAGAUGUUGGGUUAAGUCCCGUAACGAGCGCAACCCUUGUCCUUAGUUGCCAGCACUUCGGGUGGGAACUCUAAGGAGACUGCCGGUGACAAACCGGAGGAAGGUGGGGACGACGUCAAAUCAUCACGGCCCUUACGUCCUGGGCCACACACGUGCUACAAUGGUAGGUACAGAGGGAAGCCACCCCGCGAGGGGAGCGGA
rnacentral:rRNA from 1 species